rnacentral:misc_RNA from 1 species
CGAAAUGCGAUAAGUAGUGUGAAUUGCAGAAUUCAGUGAAUCAUCGAAUCUUUGAACACACAUUGCGCCCCUUGGUAUUCCAUGGGGCAUGCCUGUUCGAGCGUCAUUUGUACCCUCAAGCUCUGCUUGGUGUUGGGUGUUUGUCCCCGUCUCCGCGCGUGGACUCGCCCCAAAGUGAUUGGCAGCCGGCGUACUGGUCCCGGAGCGCAGCACAUGUCGCGCAAACGAGUGCCUUGGUACGGCGGCGUCCAUAAGCCCCUCUCUCACGCUCUUGACCUCGGAUCAGGUAGGGAUACCCGCUGAACUUAAGC